GCCUUCGUGGUGUAACGGGAAAGCACGUCCGGCUAACAAUCGGAAGGCCCGGGGUUCGAGUCCCGGCGAGGGCA
rnacentral:tRNA from 1 species